rnacentral:rRNA from 1 species
GUGCCAGCCGCCGCGGUAAUACCGGCAGCUCAAGUGAUGGCCGAUCUUAUUGGGCCUAAAGCGUCCGUAGCUGGCCUCGCAAGUCCGUCGGGAAAUCCAGUAGCUCAACUACUGGGCGUCCGGCGGAAACUACAAGGCUUGGGACCGGAAGGCUCGAGGGGUACGUCCGGGGUAGGAGUGAAAUCCCGUAAUCCCGCACGGACCACCGAUGGCGAAAGCACCUCGAGAAAACGGAUCCGACAGUGAGGGACGAAAGCCAGGGUCUCCAACCGGAUUAGAUACCCGUGUAGUCC